rnacentral:rRNA from 1 species
GCGGGGAGCGUGGCGUACGGCUCAGUAACACGUAGUCAACCUGCCCUAGAGACAUGGACAACCCCGGGAAACUGGGAUUAAUCCGUGAUAGGUCAUCUCAUCUGGAAGGAGAGACGGCUUAAAGGGGUGCGAGAGCUUCUUUCUUGUACUCGCUCUGGGAUGGGACUGCGGCCGAUCAGGCUGUUGGUGGGGUAAUGGCCCACCAAACCUGUAACCGGUACGGGCCUUGAGAGAGGGGGCCCGGAGAUGGACACUGAGAGAAGGGUCCAGGUCCUACGGGGCGCAGCAGGCGCGAAACCUUCACAAUGCGCGAAAGCGUGAUGAGGUUAAUCCGAGUGGUCCCCGCUGAGGGGAUCUUUUCUUGGCUCUAAAACGGCCAGGGAAUAAGGGGAGGGCAAGUCUGGUGUCAGCCGCCGCGGUAAUACCAGCUCCUCGAGUGGUCGGGGCGAUUAUUGGGCCUAAAGCAUCCGUAGCCUGUUCUGUAGGUCCGCUGUUAAAUCCAACGGCUUAACCGUUGGCCCGCAGCGGAUACCGCAGGACUAGGAGGCGGGAGAGGUGGACGGUACUCCACGUGUAGGGGUAAAAUCCUUUGAUCCGUGGAAGACCACCAGUGGCGAAGGCGGUCCACCAGAACGCGCUCGACGGUGAGGGAUGAAAGCUGGGGGAGCGAACCGGAUAGAUACCCGGGUAGUCCCAGCCGUAAACGAUGCGAGCUAGAUGA